rnacentral:rRNA from 1 species
CCCUUAGAUGUCCGGGGCCGCACGCGCGCUACACUGAAGGAAUCAGCGUGGCUUUCUCCCUGACCCGAAAGGGUUGGGAAACCCGUUGAAUCUCCUUCGUGAUAGGGAUUGGGGCUUGAAAUUGUUCCCCAUGAACGAGGAAUUCCCAGUAAGCGCGAGUCAUAAGCUCGCGUUGAUUACGUCCCUGCCCUUUGUACACACCGCCCGUCGCUACUACCGAUUGAACGGUUUAGUGCGGGCCUCGGAUUGGUCUCGGCCCGCUCUUUACCGGGCGGCGCCGUUGGUCGAGAAGACGCUCGAACUUGAUCGUUUAGAGGAAGUAAAAGUCGUAACA